AUAAACGCUGGCGGCGUGCUUAACACAUGCAAGUCGAACGGAGUGGUCCUCCCGAAGACCUGAUUGAGCUUGCUCUUGAUGGAAUUCAUUUGGAUCACUUAGUGGCGGACGGGUGAGUAACGCGUGGGUAACCUGCCCUAUACUGGGGGAUAGCAGUUGGAAACGACUGAUAAUACCGCAUAAGCGCACAGCAUCGCAUGGUGCAGUGUGAAAAACUCCGGUGGUAUAGGAUGGACCCGCGUCUGAUUAGCUAGUUGGUGAGGUAACGGCCCACCAAGGCGACGAUCAGUAGCCGGCCUGAGAGGGUGUACGGCCACAUUGGGACUGAGACACGGCCCAAACUCCUACGGGAGGCAGCAGUGGGGAAUAUUGGACAAUGGGGGAAACCCUGAUCCAGCGAACCGCCGCGUGAGUGAAGAAGUAUCUCGGUAUGUAAAGCUCUAUCAGCAGGGAAGAUAAUGACGGUACCUGACUAAGAAGCACCGGCUAAAUACGUGCCAGCCGCCGC
rnacentral:rRNA from 1 species